CCUACGGGAGGCAGCAGUGAGGAAUAUUGGUCAAUGGGCUUACGCCUGAACCAGCCAAGUCGCGUGAGGGAAGACUGCCCUAUGGGUUGUAAACCUCUUUUGUCAGGGAGCAAUUGGCGCUACGUGUAGCGUUAUCGAGAGUACCUGAAGAAAAAGCAUCGGCUGACUCCGUGCCAGCAGCCGCGGUAAUACGGAGGAUGCGAGCGUUAUCCGGAUUGAUUGGGUUUAAAGGGUGCGUAGGCGGAAUGCCAAGUCAGCGGUAAAAUCGCGGGGCUCAACCUCGCUCCGCCGUUGAAACUGGCGUUCUUGAGUGGGCGAGAAGUAGGCGGAAUGCGUGGUGUAGCGGUGAAAUGCAUAGAUAUCACGCAGAACUCCGAUUGCGAAGGCAGCAUACCGGAGCCCAACUGACGCUGAAGCACGAAAGCGUGGGUAUCGAACAGGAUUAGAUACCCCAGUAGUC
rnacentral:rRNA from 1 species